rnacentral:lncRNA from 1 species
GAACUCUAGCUUCCGAUGGCUGGAGCCGAUGGUUAGGAGGCUCGACAUGACGAACAUCUCCUGGAUCAUGUCCUGUCCCCAUGAGCCGAUGGUUAGGAGAUGAUAGAUAUAAUUAUGAUUUAAAUACAAAGGGAACUAGGCAAUGAAGACUGUUGUCCCUCGAUUUAUAGUGGUUCUAUUAGCUUUUCAGCUGUCUGGGCACACACCUGGCUCUAGAGCACCAAGCCAGUUUCCUUCUCUAGGUUUCCAUGACCAUACCAUAAUCUAAAUAUGUAAUUCACCACAAUACUCCCACAAAAAUGACGCAGCCUAGCAUCUUCUUCACCAACGGCGGCAUCGGCAGCCUCUUACACUGCAGGUUGCCAGUGUCAUCUUCCUCCCUAAGCUACUGCCGUCCUCUUCCUCACCAAGAUGCCGCCGCCAAUGUUGUGCCAUGGUACCGGAGAUGAAAACAUUCAGAUUCAGUACCAGGCAUGGAUCAAGAUAAUGAACAAUCCCAAG